rnacentral:rRNA from 1 species
GGAAUCAUAGACAAUGGGGGCAACCCUGAUCUUGCCAUGCCGCGUGGACGAUGAAGGCCUUAGGGUUGUAAAGUCCUUUCACCGGUGAAGAUAAUGACGUUAGCCGGAGAAGAAGCCCCGGCUAACUCCGUGCCAGCAGCCGCGGUAAUACGGAGGGGGCUAGCGUUGUUCGGAAUUACUGGGCGUAAAGCGCGCGUAGGCGGGCAUUUAAGUCGGGGGUGAAAUCCCGGGGCUCAACCCCGGAACUGCCUCCGAUACUGGGUGCCUAGAGGACGGGAGAGGUGAGUGGAAUGGCGAGUGUAGAGGUGAAAUUCGUAGAUAUUCGCCGGAACACCAGUGGCGAAGGCGGCUCACUGGCCCGUCACUGACGCUGAGGUGCGAAAGCGUGGGGAGCA